AUAAGUAGUACUCCCUCCGUUCCAAAAAAAAACCUAACUCUAGAUUUAAAUCUGGACAUAGUGUAUAUCCAAAUUCAAACUCAGAAUUUAAUUUCUUUUUUUGACGGAGGGUGUAUAUUACUAUAUAUUAUAUCACUUUCAUCUUCGUGCACUUGCUGGCGCUGCCAACUGUGCCACGUAGACUACCAUUAAGCUCCUUUAAUUAACUCGAUCUACUUCUGACAGAUGUACUCCUAUAUAGUAUGACAGUGCUCUCUCGUCUACCUGCAAUGCAAAUUGGAGUAAACCCCUAGCUAGAAGAGGCUAGAGAAGAGCAAAUCUCUCCCUUCUCCCUUGUGUCCAAUGCAUCUCUUGAAUUUACUGUACUCUGGAGUAGAAGAUACGAACAAUGCUCAGUAGUACAGUAAAUCCAUGGAUGGAACGGUAGAGUCGGUGUUUGCGGGCGUGGCAUCAUCAAGAUUCACAUCCAUGCAUAUAUCACAAGACGCACAUAUACAUCCGAUUUGGCUGAGAAUCUUGAUGAUGCUGCAUCCGCAGACAAGCGCCUUUUUUUCUUUUCAAAGGUAAGCUCCUCUGCUAUUCAAAGACCAUACAUUAGUUGUUCAUCAUCUUCAUCCUUGUCACUCCCUCCGUUUCACAAUGUAAGACAUUCUAGGAUUUUCCACAUUCAUAUUGAUACUAAUGAAUCUAGACAUCUUACAUUGUGAAACGGAGAGAGUAUUAUAUAUGGC
rnacentral:precursor_RNA from 1 species